AUCGGAGCCAGAAGAGCUGUUGCAAUGUAGGACUGAACAAGAUUGAGCUCUCUUCCAUGGCUUUUGCACGCUCGUCUCUUCUCCUUUGAUUACUAAGGUAAAUCAGCUCUAAUUGGAACCCUAGAUUUUGAAUUUUUCUUGCUAGUGACACAAAUUCAUCAACCCAAUCCAAAUUCUCGCUUCCGAAUAUGCAGAUUUCUCUUCCUUCUUUCACCUGAUUCAUAGAGUCUCAUCAGAAUCUGAGCAAAAGAAUUUGAAAAUUUGAUGAAAAACUUUACCCAGGUUUCAAAUGAAGGAUGAAUCCCAUCGAGCAAGAGCUGCAUAGACCAUCCAUGUUCUUCCCAGAGCUCAUUUUCUCUGGAAACUGAGAAUGGAU
rnacentral:lncRNA from 1 species